rnacentral:rRNA from 1 species
GAUGAACGCUAGCGGCAGGCUUAACACAUGCAAGUCGAGGGGUAGAAGGAGCUUGCUCCUUUGAGACCGGCGCACGGGUGCGUAACGCGUAUGCAAUCUACCUUUUGCAGAGGGAUAGCCCAGAGAAAUUUGGAUUAAUACCUCAUAGUAUGUGAGGAUGGCAUCAUUUUCACAUUAAAGUCACAACGGCAAAAGAUGAGCAUGCGUCCCAUUAGCUAGUUGGUAAGGUAACGGCUUACCAAGGCUACGAUGGGUAGGGGUCCUGAGAGGGAGAUCCCCCACACUGGUACUGAGACACGGACCAGACUCCUACGGGAGGCAGCAGUGAGGAAUAUUGGACAAUGGGCGCAAAGCCUGAUCCAGCCAUGCCGCGUGCAGGAUGACGGUCCUAUGGAUUGUAAACUGCUUUGUACAGGAAGAAACACUACUUCGUGAAGUAGCUUGACGGUACUGUAAGAAUAAGGAAUCGGCUAACUCCGUGCC